UCUCUUGCGAGUCAGACGCGGAUGGAGUCGGGAAGAAAUCAGCCUGGCGGGGAGACAUUCCCAAUGUUUACUGAGGCAGUGAAACGUGAUAGGAAAUGACUUUAAUCUGCACCUUUGAUAAACGCUGCUGCUGCUGCAGUCUAAGGAGCUUGGAAAGAAAACCGUCUGGA